rnacentral:rRNA from 1 species
AAUGCGAUAAGUAAUGUGAAUUGCAGAAUUCAGUGAAUCAUCGAAUCUUUGAACGCACCUUGCGCUCCUUGGUAUUCCGAGGAGCAUGCCUGUUUGAGUGUCAUGUAUACCUCAGCCCUCUUGGAUUUUCUGAGAUGGGACUGGAUGUGGAGGUUGCUGGUCUUUCAUCAAGUCAGCUUCUCUGAAAUGCAUUAGUGUGAAUGUUACUGAAUGUUCCCCAGUGUGAUAAUUAUCUGCAUUGUUGGAACUUUGGUUGAUCUAUAUGUUCAUGCUUAUAACUGUCCUUGACUGGACAAUAUACUUUUGCAUUUGACCUCAAAUCAGGUAGGACUACCCGCUGAACUUAAGCAUAUCAAUAAGCGGAGGAAAAGAAACUAACAAGGAUUCCCCUAGUAACUGCGAGUGAAGCGGGAAAAGCUCAAAUUUAAAAUCUGGCAGUCUUGGCUGUCCGAGUUGUAGUCUGGAGAAGCGUCUUCCGCGCUGGACCGUGUACAAGUUCCUUGGAAUAGUACAUCAUAGAGGGUGAGAAUCCCGUCUUUGACACGGACUACCAGUGCUUUGUGAUGCGCUCUCAAAGAGUCGAGUUGUUUGGGAAUGCAGCUCAAAAUGGGUGGUAAAUUCCAUCUAAAGCUAAAUAUUGGCGAGAGACCGAUAGCGAACAAGUACCGUGAGGGAAAGAUGAAAAGCACUUUGGAAAGAGAGUUAAACAGGUCCGUGAAAUUGCUGAAAGGGAAACCUUAAAAUAAGUCCCGUUGUUCAGAAUUCAGCCUGCCUUCUGUCUGGUGUAAUUUCUGUUCGACGGGCCAGCAUCAAUUUUGAUCAUUGGAAAAGGCCAGGGGAAUGUGGCACCCUCGGGUGUGUUAUAGCCUCUGGUUGCAUACAAUGGUUGGGAUUGAGGAUCUCAGCAUGCCUUUGGUCGGGGUUGGCCCACGUUCAUGCUUAGGAUGCUGGCGUAAUGGCUUUAAACGACCCGUCUUGAAACACGGACCAAGGAGUCUAACAUGCCUGCGAGUGUUUGGGUGGAAAACCCGAGCGCGCAAUGAAAGUGAAAGUUGGGAUCCCUGUCGUGGGGAGCACUGACGCCCGGACUUGACCUUCUGUGACGGAUCCGCGGUAGAGCAUGUAUGUUGGGACCCGAAAGAUGGUGAACUAUGCCUGAAUAGGGUGAAGCCAGAGGAAACUCUGGUGGAGGCUCGUAGCGAUUCUGACGUGCAAAUCGAUCGUCAAAUUUGGUAUAGGGCGAAAGACUAAUCGACCAUCUAGUAGCUG